GGCCGCGUGGCCUAAUGGUUAAGGCGCUGGUUUUCGGCUUUGCCUUUUUAGGCGAAUCUCUGUCCACCAGAGAUUGUGUGUUCGAAUCAUACCGUGGUCG
rfam:Trichophyton interdigitale MR816 cont1.33, whole genome shotgun sequence.